GACAACGCUGGCGGGCGUGCCUCAUACAUGCAAGUCGAGCGGAUGUAGCAAUACAUCAGCGGCGGACGGGUGAGUAACACGUGGGCAACCUGGCCUUAAGAGGGGGAUAACGUCCCGAAAGGGACGCUAAUACCGCGUAAAUCAACGAGAUCGCAUGAUUUUGUUGGAAAAGGAGUAAUCCGCUUAAGGAUGGGCCCGCGGCCUAUUAGCUAGUUGGUAGGGUAACGGCCUACCAAGGCGACGAUAGGUAGCCGACCUGAGAGGGUGAACGGCCACACUGGAACUGAGAAACGGUCCAGACUCCUACGGGAGGCAGCAGUAGGGAAUAUUCCGCAAUGGGCGAAAGCCUGACGGAGCAACGCCGCGUGAGUGAAGAAGGUUUUCGGAUCGUAAAGCUCUGUCAACAGGGACGAAACAAGACGGUACCUGAGAAGGAAGCCACGGCAAACUACGUG
rnacentral:rRNA from 1 species